UGACGCUGGCGGCAUGCUACCCCUGCGAUUAUAACGGCAGCAUGAUCUACCUUGCGAGUAUGAUGGCGAGUGGCGAACGGGUGAGUAAUACAUCGGAACGCGCCCUGUAGUGGGGGAUAACUAGUCGAAAGAUUAGCUAAUACCGCAUACGACCUGAGGGUGAAAGUGGGGGACCGAAAGGCCUCAUGCUAUAGGAGCGGCCGAUGUCUGAUUAGCUAGUUGGUGAGGUAAAGGCUCACCAAGGCGACGAUCAGUAGCUGGUCUGAGAGGACGAUCAGCCACACUGGGACUGAGACACGGCCCAGACUCCUACGGGAGGCAGCAGUGGGGAAUUUUGGACAAUGGGCGAAAGCCUGAUCCAGCAAUGCCGCGUGUGUGAAGAAGGCCUUCGGGUUGUAAAGCACUUUUGUCCAGAAAGAAAUGGCUCUGGUUAAUACCUGGGGUCGAUGACGGUACCGGAAGAAUAAGGACCGGCUAACUACGUGCCAGCAGACGCGGUAAUACGUAGGGUCCAAGCGUUAAUCGGAAUUACUGGGCGUAAAGCGUGCGCAGGCGGUUGUGCAAAGCCAGAUGUGAAAUCCCCGAGCAUAACUUGGGAAUUGCAUUGGUGACUGGACGGCUAGAG
rnacentral:rRNA from 1 species